UACGUAGGGGGCAAGCGUUGUCCGGAAUCAUUGGGCGUAAAGAGCGUGUAGGCGGCUCGAUAAGUCUGCUGUGAAAGUCCAGGGCUCAACCCUGGAAGGCCGGUGGAAACUGUCGGGCUAGAGUCCGGAAGAGGCGAGUGGAAUUCCCGGUGUAGUGGUGAAAUGCGCAGAUAUCGGGAGGAACACCAAUGGCGAAGGCAGCUCGCUGGGACGGUACUGACGCUGAGGCGCGAAAGCGUGGGGAGCAAACAGG
rnacentral:rRNA from 1 species